CUCCUCCCGGAGGAACUGUGGAUGGACCUGUCCAAACAUGCUCACAGCUCUGCUGUUCACCAGAGAACCACUGUGGAGAGAGAGAGAAGCCCUCCUGAGGCUGUCAGUUUGCAGAGUGGGCCUGAUGCCCAGAGCUGCAGCCCACUGAUACAACAGCAUAAGAACAGAAAACACAAAAACCUUCACUUAUCAGUGACACCAAAAUUCAUCUUUGAGAAAUGCCAGGAAAAUAAGGCUUGAGGUGAAUAAAUGGCUCCAGUCACAGUACCCACUACUACUUUCCUCAGCAGUUUGGUUUUACUUUAUUCUACCAGCUAUAACCA